UCCAUUUUAUUUGUUAAGUAGUGACAUAGAGAAAGCACAUUAAUUAUCCAAGAUUAUUCUAUAAAGAAGUUAUAUGACUGAGAAUCAAUAGGCACUACCGAUUCUAUAAAAUAUAAACAUUUGACCAGAGUCAUACAUAUACUAGGUACUUAAUUAUUAUUCUAAGUGAUAUACAAGGAAUGAUGUGCUGCUGUACAAUAGAAAGAAAGUCAUUUAAAACAUACAGUGUUUGUUCUCAGGGAGUCCAAAUAUCUAGCAAGGCAACAUUUAAUGGAAUUCUAUACCACAGAAUAUGUCUUUCUUGAACACAGAGUAGAGAGAGAAGCUUCUUCCUCUUGACCCACCUACCUACCCUAUCUUCACAAUCUCCUAAUCAGCAGCCUCUUCACCUUUCAGCUUUGCACUCUUCUGAGUAACAAAGAGAAGUACCUUAAUGAAUGAGGUAAGAGAAUGACAUGUAAGCUGUUGCUGCACGCCUAGGAGCAAAGGAGCACUUCUAACCCUUUCACUCCCAGCAGCAAGGUGGAUUUGGGGCUAAAGACUAGGGUAUCCCUAAAAUCUGGAGCACCCUAUGUGUACAAGGGAAUGACCAGAAAGAAGGAAAUUUGAAAAUUUGAAGAAAUGCAACAGAAAAGGACCAGAUGGAACCUCCACAAGACCUGGGCGAAUGGAAUGGAAUUACAGCCAGGCUCAAAAGCAGUUGGAGGAGGAAAACAAAAGUUCUUCUGAUCUUAGACUCUUUGGAGCUGGGAGGGAGAACUACUUGGCUGGGAAUAUAUACAAAAUCUCAUUACUUUGCUUGAACAGAAGAAGAUCUCAAUUCUCAACUGGAACCAAUCUUUGGGAUAAGGACUCUCUUUUUCCCUUAGGGGAACCCAGAACUUAUUUCUGAAGAAUAUUACUUAGGUCAAAACCCUCAAAAGCUAUAUAGGGAAAAUAUUUUAGGGAUCUCCUCUUCCCACUGUCCUUUUCCAUUACCCUUUCAAUCUUUUAUAUCCAAAUAAAUUAGAUAUCAUGAUUUAUAAUAGAA